GGAGUUGGACUUGGGCUUUGUUUGGACCUUACAACAUAGAGGGUGAGCCACCAAUUGCCGGCGCAGUAGUCAAUUUUGACGUCGUUAGGAACCAAGAGGGAUUGGAAACUAUGAAUUGGAUUCAGAGGAAGAUCCUUCUUUACAAUGUCACUUUUGGACUCUACAUGUUGGAUUGGUGGGAGCGUUAUCUCUUCAAUGCUUUGGUGAUUGUGUUAAUGUGGUUUGUUUUCUACAAUGGGUCACGGCAUGCAACUGAAUUCUACAAAAGGCAUCUCUGGUUAGGCACUGGAGUUGAAGGAUGAUGGGAUGGAAGAGUAGGCCUAUAUAUAUAUAUGGUGUCAUGUCUACCUCUAUUUGGAUAAUUACUUGGGAAUUUCUGCAGUUUGUAUUUAUCAUUUGUGUGUCAAGCGUAUGCAUUAACCAUUUACACUUGUUAUCUAAUCUUGAUUGUUAACAUAUUUCUCAGUUCAAGCCUAGGAAGAUGGGUGUUUUCCUUUA